rnacentral:rRNA from 6 species
UGUCGUCAGCUCGUGUUGUGAAAUGUUGGGUUAAGUCCCGCAACGAGCGCAACCCUUAUCCUUUGUUGCCAGCGGUCCGGCCGGGAACUCAAAGGAGACUGCCAGUGAUAAACUGGAGGAAGGUGGGGAUGACGUCAAGUCAUCAUGGCCCUUACGACCAGGGCUACACACGUGCUACAAUGGCGCAUACAAAGAGAAGCGACCUCGCGAGAGCAAGCGGACCUCAUAAAGUGCGUCGUAGUCCGGAUUGGAGUCUGCAACUCGACUCCAUGAAGUCGGAAUCGCUAGUAAUCGUGGAUCAGAAUGCCACGGUGAAUACGUUCCCGGGCCUUGUACACACCGCCCGUCACACCAUGGGAGUGGGUUGCAAAAGAAGUAGGUAGCUUAACCUUCGGGAGGGCGCUUACCACUUUGUGAUUCAUGACUGGGGUGAAGUCGUAACAAGGUAACCGUAGGGGAACCUGCGGUUGGAUCACCUCCUUA